UGCUUUUUGCAGCAAUAUCUUGAAGGUUAUUUCGGCAGGUCUUUCCCACCCACGUGACACUUCCCCGAUUUUUCUGCGACUAGCCCGUUACAAGUUCUACUUAUUAUUUUUUUGAGGAAAUUUUAUGGCUACUGGUACUGUUAAAUGGUUCAAUGAAUCAAAAGGUUAUGGCUUCAUCACUCCCGAUGAUGGCAGUAAAGAUAUAUUUGUACACUUCUCCGCGAUCCAAACCGAUGGAUUUAAAAAACUCACCGAAGGUCAGGCGGUUUCCUUCGAAAUUGAACAAAGCCCCAAGGGAGUGCAAGCGACCAACGUAGUACCUGCCGUAUAAUUCCUUUUCUAAUGUUAAUCAAAAAAGGGCCUGAAUCAGGCCCUUUUUUGU
rnacentral:sRNA from 1 species